rnacentral:rRNA from 1 species
UACAGAGGAUGCAAGCGUUAUCCGGAAUGAUUGGGCGUAAAGCGUCUGUAGGUGGCUUUUUAAGUCCGCCGUCAAAUCCCAGGGCUCAACUCUGGACAGGCGGUGGAAACUACCAAGCUUGAGUACGGUAGGGGCAGAGGGAAUUUCCGGUGGAGCGGGUGAAAUGCGUAGAUAUCAUUUGGAACGCCAAUGGUGAAAACAGGUAGCUGGGAGUGUGCUGACACUGAGACAGAAAGCCAGGGGAGCAAACGGG